UACGUAGGGUGCGAGCGUUAAUCGGAAUUACUGGGCGUAAAGCGUGCGCAGGCGGUUUUGUAAGCCAGAUGUGAAAUCCCCGGGCUCAACCUGGGAAUGGCAUUUGGGACUGCAAGGCUGGAGUGCGGCAGAGGAGACUGGAAUUCCUGGUGUAGCAGUGAAAUGCGUAGAGAUGUGGAGGAACACCGAUGGCGAAGGCAGCCCCCUGGGUCAAGACUGACGCUCAUGCACGAAAGCGUGGGGAGCAAACAGG
rnacentral:rRNA from 1 species